rnacentral:rRNA from 1 species
UACGUAGGGAGCAAGCGUUGUCCGGAAUCAUUGGGCGUAAAGCGCGCGUAGGUGGCUUCGUAAGUCCGUUGUGAAAGUCAAAGGCUCAACCUUUGAAAGCCGAUGGAUACUGUGGAGCUAGAGUACGGAAGAGGCGAGUGGAAUUCCUGGUGGUAGCGGUGGAAUGCGCAGAUAUCAGGAGGAACACCAAUAGCGAAGGCAGCUCGCUGGGACGUACUGACACUGAGGCGCGAAAGCGUGGGGAGCGAACAGG